rnacentral:rRNA from 1 species
CGAGCCACACGAACGUUAUUCGGAAUUACUGGGCUUAAAGGGUGCGUAGGCGGCGCGGAAAGUUGGGUGUGAAAUCCCUCGGCUCAACCGAGGAACUGCGCCCAAAACUACCGUGCUCGAGGAAGAUAGAGGUGAGCGGAACUUACGGUGGAGCGGUGAAAUGCGUUGAUAUCGUAAGGAACACCCGUGGCGAAAGCGGCUCACUGGGUCUUCUCUGACGCUGAUGCACGAAAGCUAGGGGAGCAAACGGGAUUAGAUACCCCGGUAGUCCUAGCCGUAAACUCUGAGUACUGAAUUGGAGGGCCCUCCAUAGCCCUCCAGUUGAAGCGAAAGUGUUAAGUACUCCGCCUGGGGAGUAUGGUCGCAAGGCUG